rnacentral:rRNA from 1 species
AUGGCCACCAAUAGGGCUCCUAGGCCGGACAAUAUCCCUGUCGAAUUUUAUCAAAGUUGCUGGGAUAUAGUGAAGGAUGAUAUCAUGUCCCUUUUUAGGAAUAUCCAUAAUGGGACACUUGAUGUUCAACGCCUUAACUAUGGAGUGAUUACUCUGCUACCCAAAGUGUCUGGGGCUGACAAAAUCCAGCAGUUCAGACCUAUUUGUCUCCUGAGGUGUCCAUAUAAGCUCAUUACGAAAGUAAUGGACCGUAGGGUGGAGUUGUACGCUGAUAAGUUGAUUAGCCCUACCCAGAAUUCGUUUAUUAAGGGGAGGAACAUUAUGGAUGGGGUUCUUUCCUUGCAUGAGAUCCUGAAUUACACCCAUGUCAAAAAGAGGGUUGGUGUAGUGCUUAAGUUGGAUUUUGAGAAAGCGUAUGACAAAGUUAACUGGGAUUUUCUUCUGGAAUGUCAUAAGUUGCAUGGUUUUGACGAAACCUGGUGUGGUUGGGUCAAACAAAUUCUUUAUAAAGGCACAGUCAGCAUAAAACUAAAUAAUAGUGUGGGCCCAUACUUCCAAAGUGCAAAAGGGGUUCGACAGGGUGACCCACACUCUCCAUUCCUGUUUAACCUCGCUGUGGAGUGUCUGACUAAAUUGAUCAAAAAUGCCUAG